rnacentral:lncRNA from 1 species
GUUUGAAUUUAUGUUUUGAUGUGCAAACUAAAAUUUAAAUUACUUUUAUAUUUUGUAUUUUAAUUAUUUUUUGAUAAUUAAAAUUUUUUAAAUAUUGAAAGUAUUAUGAAUCAACCAUACCGAUUCUUAUUGUUAUUCUGAACCAAAUAUAUUGGGAGGUUGUAUCAUUUCGUUUCUGAUUUCUGUCCAUUCCAAUUUCAUUUUAUAUUCUGAACCAAACGCGCCCUUAAUUUACAUGAGAAAAAAAUAAAGCAACUCGAAUAAAUUCAAACUCUGAACCUUCGCCUCUGAUAGCAUGUGAAACUACCGCUGCUCUAAAAACUUAAAUUACCAAAAAAAAUACCC